AUUGAACGCUGGCGGCAGGCCUAACACAUGCAAGUCGAACGAGUGGCGGACGGGUGAGUAAUGUCUGGGAAACUGCCCGAUGGAGGGGGAUAACUACUGGAAACGGUAGCUAAUACCGCAUACCAUCGGAUGUGCCCAGAUGGGAUUAGCUUGUAGGUGAGGUAACGGCUCACCCAGGCGACGAUCCCUAGCUGGUCUGAGAGGAUGACCAGCGACACUGGAAGUGAGAGACGGUCCAGACUCCUACGGGAGGGAGCAGUGGGGAGUAUGGCACAAUGGGCGCAAGCCUGAUGCAGCCAUGCCGCGGGUAUGAAGAAGGCCUUCGGGUUGUAAGGUACUUUCAGCGAGGAGGCGUUACCCGCAGAGGAAGCACCGGCUAACUCCGUGCCAGCAGCCGCGGUAAUAC
rnacentral:rRNA from 1 species